rnacentral:rRNA from 1 species
CCUGGUGGUUAUGGCGGGGUGGCUGCACCCGUUCCCUUUCCGAACACGGCCGUGAAACGCCCCUGCGCCCAUGGUA